rnacentral:rRNA from 1 species
AACGAACGCUGGCGGCGUGCCUAACACAUGCAAGUCGGACGAGAAACACACCCUUCGGGGUGUGGAGUAAAGUGGCGCACGGGUGAGUAACACGUGGGUAACCUACCCUAUGGUUCGGGAUAACCGGCCGAAAGGCCUGCUAAUACCGAAUAAGACCACGAGAGCUUUGGCUCUUGAGGUCAAAGUCGGCCUCUCAAUGAAGCUGACGCCGAAGGAUGGGCCCGCGGACCAUUAGCUAGUUGGUAGGGUAAUGGCCUGACAAGGCCGAGAUGGUAAGCUAGGCUGAGACGAUGAUCAGCCACACUGGAACUGAGACACGGUCCAGACUCCUGCGGGAGGCAGCAGUGAGGAAUAUUGCGCAAUGGGGGCAACCCUGACGUAGCAACGCCGCGUGAGUGAAGAAGGCCUUCGGGUUGUAAAGCUCUGUCAGGCGGGAAGAAACCUAUCCAAGCGAAUAACUUGGAAAGCUGACGGUACCGCCAAAGGAAGCACCGGCUAACUCCGUGCCAGCCGCCGCGGUAACAC